AACGAACGCUGGCGGCAGGCUUAACACAUGCAAGUCGAACGGGUGUAGCAAUACAUCAGUGGCAGACGGGUGAGUAACACGUGGGAACCUUCCUAGGGGUACGGAACAACUCAGGGAAACUUGAGCUAAUACCGUAUACGUCCGUAAGGAGAAAGGUUCAUCGCCCCUAGACGGGCCCGCGUCGGAUUAGGUAGUUGGUGGGGUAACGGCCUACCAAGCCUACGAUCCGUAGCUGAUCUGAGAGGAUGAUCAGCCACACUGGGACUGAGACACGGCCCAGACUCCUACGGGAGGCAGCAGUGGGGAAUCUUGGACAAUGGGCGCAAGCCUGAUCCAGCCAUGCCGCGUGAGUGAAGAAGGCCUUAGGGUUGUAAAGCUCUUUUACCAGGGACGAUAAUGACGGUA
rnacentral:rRNA from 1 species